AUCCAAUCAGGGAAGGAAGAACGACCCCUUUCCAAGAAGCUGUACCCAAAUGGACGACAUGGGCUGGUUCUAGCUUAAGCGGAUGGUCCUUCAGCUACCCAAACACCUGGACAAAUAUAGUAUUUUAGAUUAAAACCAAUACCUGGAAUUGUACUCAAGAGCCUAUUGGAAAGGAAAUGGCACUGAGGAAUCGGAGGCAAUGUCUGGAGACUGGCAGUUAUUACAAGCAGGCAAGAUGAUUAUCCAUCAACUGCCAUGGCCACAAGCUACAGUGAGCAGCAUAUCCUUGUGGGAGCUCGGUAGCAACUCAAAGAGGAACAACCACACUGAAGACCACACCUCACCCUAACUAUGGUCAUAUCCAACCUGGAUGGUUAACAGAAGGAAAGUUACAGCAGAUGAAAGCAGCUCUUUUCAAGCUGGAGGUCACAGUAGUGGAAAGCUCCGGAGAGCAACAUUGCAUCAAAGUGGGAAAAGUGAGGGUUCCAGCUUAGGCUGAAGAAAAUUGGUUGCUAUGCUUGUUGUUCGUAGACUCCAUGUAUGUACUUAA